rnacentral:rRNA from 1 species
ACAUCCAGAGAACUUGGCAGAGAUGCCUUGGUGCCUUCGGGACCUCUGAGACAGGUGCUGCAUGGCUGUCGUCAGCUCGUGUUGUGAAAUGUUGGGUUAAGUCCCGNAACGAGCGCAACCCCUAUCCUUUGUUGCCAGCGAUUCGGUCGGGAACUCAAAGGAGACUGCCGGUGAUAAACCGGAGGAAGGUGGGGAUGACGUCAAGUCAUCAUGGCCCUUACGAGUAGGGCUACACACGUGCUACAAUGGCGCAUACAAAGAGAAGCGACCUCGCGAGAGCAAGCGGGACCUCAUAAAGUGCGUCGUAGUCCGGAUCGGAGUCUGCAACUCGACUCCGUGAAGUCGGAAUCGCUAGUAAUCGUAGAUCAGAAUGCUACGGUGAAUACGUUCCCGGGCCUUGUACACACCGCCCGUCACACCAUGGGAGUGGGUUGCAAAAGAAGUAGAUAGCUUAACCUUCGGGAGGGCGUUUACCACUUUGUGAUUCAUGACUGGGGUGAAGUCGUAACAAGGUAAGCGUAGCGAG